ACGUCGGUGGUGCAAACGUUCUGCAUGCACUCCCGGAAAGAGUGAGAUCUGGGUUUGAAUCCUGGCUGACGCA